rnacentral:lncRNA from 1 species
CAGGAGUUGGCGGAUGCUUUAGUCCAGGUCUGGGAGGAGAUCCCUCAGGAGACCAUCCGCCACCUCAUCAGGAGCAUGCCCAGGUGUUGUAGAGGUCAUACAGGCACGUGGAGGCCACACACACUACUGAGCCUCAUUUUGACUUGUUUUAAGGACAUUACAUCAAAGUUGGAUCAGCCUGUAGUGUGGUUUUCCACUUUAAUUUUGAGUGUGACUCCAAAUCCAGACCUCCAUGGGUUGAUAAAUUGGAUUUCCAUUGAUUAUUUUUGUGUGGUUUUGUUGUCAGCACAUUCAACUAUGUAAAGAAAAAAGUAUUUUAAUAAGAUUAUUUCAUUCAUUCAGAUCUAUGAUGUUAUUUUAGUGUUCCCUUUAUUUUUUUGAGCAGUGUAACUAGCUGCCGAAUAGGCAUCAACUCACCACGUAGCUUAUUCUUAAUGUUUGGCCAUAGGCUACCAGAGUGAGGACAGACAUUUUUCGGAAUAAACGUGACCGUGGCAAUGCGUCUGAGGACACCGUUGAAAUUGAGCGUGCUCCCGUUUCUGAUGUUAACGGCUCAGGUACAUCUGGAAAACUAGCUGAGGGGGUGACGUUAGAGGAAGAGUGGAUGGACAUCUUUGAAGACCUCAAAAAGAGGAUGAGGGAGGAUCCUGUGAGUUUCAGGCCUGCAGUAGCAUCCUUCGUUUCCAGCUUAAAGAAGAUGAAAACAGACAGUGAACUCAUAGCCGCACUACCAAACUUUGGCAUAACCAACCCUGGACCAACAGCAAAGUUUUACCGGGGACGGGCACGCCCCACAGAGAGCUCCGUAGGAGAGCAUGGACAUGGCACAUGCAGCUGGAAGAGGAAGGCACCCCAUUGAAUGUCUCAGUGUGUGGAAUAACACAUGGACAUUGGGAGUACUACACACAAAAAAGCAAGUCAACAUCAGUGGCCCCCUGUGCCCAUCAUCCACCUGCUCACCAUCUGUGACCUCCAGUGCACUAGCGCUCUGCCUACCGGCUCUAGGUCUCCUCCGCCUUGAACAAAACCAGGGACUAUUUCAAUGCAUUGUGGCCUCUCCAACACCAGAACCAGUGGCUAUUUCAAUAUUGCAUUCUUGCCUUUUUGUUUUACGUUAAUUCAAUGGAAGACGUUUCUGCAAUUUCAUAUCUUUUUAAAAUUGAUUCCAUGUUGAAGGACCAUCAGAUUUUAAAAAGCUGUUCUGCUAACCCAGUUGCAGGCCUAUACUAUCACUGAACCAAAGCAGUAGUUGUCUUGACUUAUAUCUCAAAUUGUAUUGGUCACAUACACAUGGUUAGCAGAUGUUAAUGCGAGUGUAGUGAAAUGCUUGUGCAUAUACUGGUAUAUGUUGUGCAUCAAGUUGUGUCCUUUUUAUGUUGAACAAAUGCAAGACUACAAUUUUAAUGAUGGGUUGUAAGACACAUAAUUAAGUGUUUAUUUGUACAUUAAAAAAAAAUAUCCAGAGGGGAACCUGCA